AGAACGAACGCUGGCGGCAGGCUUAACACAUGCAAGUCGAACGCUCAUAGCAAUAUGGGAGUGGCGCACGGGUGAGUAAUACUUGGGAACGUGCCUUAGAGUCUGGGAUAACCACUGGAAACGGUGGCUAAUACCGGAUAUUCCCUCCGGGGGAAAGAUUUAUCGCUCUAAGAUCGGCCCAAGUCAGAUUAGGUAGUUGGUGGGGUAAUGGCCUACCAAGGCGACGAUCGGUAGCUGGUCUGAGAGGACGAUCAGCCACACUGGGAUUGAGAACGGCCCAGACUCCUACGGGGGGCAGCAGUGAGGAAUUUUCCGCAAUGGACGCAAGUCUGACGGAGCAACGCCGCGUGCAGGAUGAAGGUUUUCGGAUCGUAAACUGCUUUCUCGGGGACGAGCAAGGACGGUACCCGAGGAAGAGCCCGGCUAACUACGCGCCAGCAGCCGC
rnacentral:rRNA from 1 species